rnacentral:rRNA from 1 species
UAGGGAAUCUUGCACAAUGAGGGAAACCUUGAUGCAGCGACGCCGCGUGCGGGACGAAGGCCCUAGGGUUGUAAACCGCUUUCAGUUGGGACGAAAGUGACGGUACCAACAGAAGAAGCCCCGGCCAACUAUGUGCCAGCAGCCGCGGUGAUACAUAGGGGGCGAGCGUUGUCCGGAUUUACUGGGCGUAAAGAGCUCGUAGGCGGUUUGCCAAGUUAGAAGUGAAAUCUCCAGGCUUAACCUGGAGCGG